CUAUGUAUGAAUAUGUCCCACGCCCAACGCGUCUGCCAAAACGAAUUCCCGAUCAGCUAACUGGACACUUGUUGUAGGAUAACAACAUGUCUGUGAACAUCCAUUCAAAGUGUGCUCCUAUUUUUUUUGUAUUCUAUGUGUUCAACAAUAUGUAUGAGAUACAAAUGAAUGGUAAUCUAUGUGUUUGACCAACCAAUAGUGUUGGGAAUCUUCUUUUGGCUGGAUUGAUGUUAGCAAAAAUCCAUUUGCUUUACGGUUUAAAACUUAUUUCUUACUUUUGUUAUAGCCAGUUCAUGGAUUCGUCGAGUAGGAUUUGGUGAUUGAUGUUGAUUGAGGCUAUAUUAAUAUUACAUUCACCUGUGCUUGAAUCCGCCUUUAGGCAUGGCAUUCUCUAUGUCUUUCAGCUUCAUAGAUGUCCUAUUUUGUUGUCAUUUUAUUUCUUUGAUUGAUUUGCUUCGAUUUGUUAAGAGAUUAUAUAACAAUCUGUUAAAUGUAACAAUCUGUUAUGUCUUCUUUUAAGGGAUUAUAAUAAGGUAUCAUAUAUUUGUUAAAUUAAAAGUCAUAGAAAUGCAACUUUAAAAUGCUUGCUGACCACUCUUUUUUUUUAAUUUUUAAAGUAGGAUUGGUUUGCUAUAUACAUUGUAAAGAGUAUGCGACAUUAAAGUUUUCUGUUGCCGACAUUAAUGUAUCAUUCAUGUUGAUUCAAAUGUUGGAUUUAUACUUACAUUUGUUAAGUUGCUAUGUUUUCGUCUGAAGCUAUAUGUUCAAUUUACAUUUGGGGAUUCAAUGUCAGAAGGGGCAUUGAGAGAUUUUAUGCCAUUCUAUGUUGAAUGGUAAACAAAAACAAAAUGUUGUUUUUGCUUUGUAUCUUCUUUUCCCUUCUCUUUCGCAGUAAAACCAAGAUGUCUUUCAGGAAUCAAUUUUGUUAGAUUAUUAGGAGAUGAUGAAGAAGCGUUUCAUGUUCUAUAUUGUAUAGCUUUCAAAAUGAUGGAUGUUGAGUGGCUUGUUAUGCGUGAUUCAUGUAUGGAAUUUAAUUUAAUCUCUCUCUCUCUCUCAAAAACUUGUAUAUAAUCACACUGCUUCGAAACUCAUCCUGCUGUAGCUCGGUGCAUGUUUUCCACCCCGACAAUAAAUGGCUUCAAUUAUCGCAAUAAAUUUUUACUCUUGGGCUUUGAGUUUCAAUAAACAAUUUUGAAGUUAAACUACAAUAUCUUACACUUGCAGUUUUAAACUAGUUUGUGCUUGCAGCUCCACAUCUUUUUUGUUUUGAUAAGAGUCCUAAGUUUUGCCGCACCGACUCCGUUUUUAGAUGCAACAGUAGUGAAUAAAGAGAACUGUUAUUCAUCGUGUUAGGCUUGGGACAUCCACAGAUGCAGUCUUCUUUAUCUACUGUACAUUGAAAUAAAACCUGAAACAUUGCGUGAGAUUGGUUCGAGAAUCAACUUACUCCCUUUAUUUGUUGCAGCAGAACAUGAAAAAAGUGUUUGAAGAUGCCAUUUUCUGCUUCAAUAUUGUCCUCUUGUUUAUGUGCUUGUCUUGCUUAUGGUUCUAUUGUUUCCCAUCGGUGCAUAUUGCUUCUUACUUGAUUUAUUUUCCCUUCAUUAUUCUAUGUGUUCUUCUCAAAUUUUAAUGUCAGAACUCGAUAAUUUACUUAUACUUCUAAAGUUCAAAUUAUUGAUAUUGGGGAGCAUUACCUGAAUUCAUUUGUGCUUGAUUUUGUUUGGUUUUGUUGUCAAAUAAAGAGGAUUUUGAGAAGAGAAUGAAGGGUGGAUAUGUGUAUAGAAUCAGAGCUGGUUACGUGUUCUACUUGAGGAAUACUACAAAGAGCCAAAGGCUCCAUAUCAUUUCCAGUAUUCACAAGUGUGAUGGCUUCGGAUGGGGCAGCUUCCACCUACUUUAAAAGUCAUUUCAUGACUGUUUCUUUCUUCAUCGGUGGAAGAACGAAUCCCAUGUCUGUGCUUUCUAGUUUCGACGCUGUGACUCUUGCAACCGCAUUCAAUCUAAGCAUUAUGUACCAAUGGUUAGACCAUAGUGCUAUGUAACUAUACAUGCACAAA